ACGGAAGGCAGCAGUGGGGCAUAUUGGGCAAUGGGGGAAACCCUGACCCAGCAACGCCGCGUGAAGGAAGAAGGCCUUCGGGUUGUAAACUUCUUUUACCAGGGACGAAGAAAGUGACGGUACCUGGAGAAAAAGCAACGGCUAACUACGUGCCAGCAGCCGCGGUAAUACGUAGGUUGCAAGCAUUGUCCGGAUUUACUGGGUGUAAAGGGCGUGUAGGCGGAGCUGCAAGUCAGAUGUGAAAUCCCGGGGCUCAACCCCGGAACUGCAUUUGAAACUGUAGCCCUUGAGUAUCGGAGAGGCAAGCGGAAUUCCUAGUGUAGCGGUGAAAUGCGUAGAUAUUAGGAGGAACACCAGUGGCGAAGGCGGCUUGCUGGACGACAACUGACGCUGAGGCGCGAAAGCGUGGGGAGCAAAC
rnacentral:rRNA from 1 species